rnacentral:misc_RNA from 1 species
GAUGAAGAACGUAGCGAAAUGCGAUAAGUAAUGUGAAUUGCAGAAUCCAGUGAAUCAUCGAAUCUUUGAACGCACAUUGCGCCCGCCAGCAUUCUGGCGGGCAUGCCUGUUCGAGCGUCAUUUCAACCCUCGACCUCCCUUUGGGGAAGUCGGCGUUGGGGACCGGCAGCACACCGCCGGCCCUGAAAUGGAGUGGCGGCCCGUCCGCGGCGACCUCUGCGUAGUAAACCAACUCGCACCGGAACCCCGACGUGGCCACGCCGUAAAACACCCAACUUCUGAACGUUGACCUCGAAUCAGGUAGGACUACCCGCUGAACUUAAGCAUAUCAAUAAGCGGAGA